AGUGAACGCUGGCGGUAGGCCUAACACAUGCAAGUCGAACGGCAGCACAGUAAGAGCUUGCUCUUACGGGUGGCGAGUGGCGGACGGGUGAGGAAUACAUCGGCAUCUACUUUUUCGUGGGGGAUAACGUAGGGAAACUUACGCUAAUACCGCAUACGACCUACGGGUGAAAGCAGGGGAUCUUCGGACCUUGCGCGAUUGAAUGAGCCGAUGUCGGAUUAGCUAGUUGGCGGGGUAAAGGCCCACCAAGGCGACGAUCCGUAGCUGGUCUGAGAGGAUGAUCAGCCACACUGGAACUGAGACACGGUCCAGACUCCUACGGGAGGCAGCAGUGGGGACUAUUGGACAAUGGGCGCAAGCCUGAUCCAGCCAUACCGCGUGGGUGAAGAAGGCCUUCGGGUUGUAAAGCCCUUUUGUUGGGAAAGAAAAGCAGCAGGUUAAUACCCCGCUGUUCUGACGGUACCCAAAGAAUAAGCACCGGCUAACUUCGUG
rnacentral:rRNA from 1 species